GUAUCAAAUGGGAAUUGCCAUACCUGCCAAUGUGUAGAAGAAAAAAGAUCAAAUGAGAUACAGUCAGAGAACCCUGAGAAGUAGGCCCUUUAGAAAGCUGGUAUUCCGUGUGAGCAGGACUUGCAACAUCCUGUUUGCUCCUAUCUGAU
rnacentral:snoRNA from 1 species